CCUACGGGGGGCAGCAGUAGGGAAUCUUCCGCAAUGGACGAAAGUCUGACGGUGCAACGCCGCGUGAGCGAAGAAGGUCUUCGGAUCGUAAAGCUCUGUUGUUAGGGAAGAACAAGUACGGGAGGAAAUGACCGUACCUUGACGGUACCUGACGAGGAAGCCACGGCUAAAUACGUGCCUGCAGCCGCGGUAAUACGUAGGUGGCUAGCGUUGUGCGGAAUUAUUUGGCGUAAAGCGCGCGCAGGCGGUCUUUUAAGUCUGAUGUGAUAUCUUGAGGCUCAACCGGAAGCGGUCAUCGUAGACUGGGAUGCGUGAGUGCAUAAGGGGAAAGCGGAAUUCCACGUGUAGCGCUGAAAUGCGUAGAGAUGUGGCGGAUCACCAGUCGCGAAGGCGGCUUUCUGGUCUGUAACUGACGCUGAGGCGCGAAAGCGUGGGGAGCAAACAGGAUUAGAUACCCCAGUAGUC
rnacentral:rRNA from 1 species